CACGGAGGGAGCAAGCGUUGUCCGGAUUUACUGGGCGUGAAGCGCGCGUAGGCGGUCCAUUAAGUCGGCUGUGAAAGCGCUGGGCUCAACCCAGCAAGGUCAGUCGAUACUGGUGGACUCGAGUCCGGGAGAGGGAAGCGGAAUUGCUGGUGUAGCGGUGGAAUGCGUAGAUAUCAGCAAGAACACCGGUGGCGAAGGCGGCUUCCUGGACCGGCACUGACGCUGAGGCGCGAAAGCUAGGGGAGCGAACCGGAUUAGAUACCCCCGUA
rnacentral:rRNA from 1 species